rnacentral:pre_miRNA from 1 species
UCUUACUGAUGAGCAAAGAAAGUAGUUUCUUGAGAUAGGAACUGUUCCUGCUGAAGAUUCUGUGAA